rnacentral:rRNA from 1 species
UACGUAGGGGGCAAGCGUUGUCCGGAUUUAUUGGGCGUAAAGAGCGUGUAGGCGGCUAUGCAGGUCCGCUGUGAAAACUCGAGGCUCAACCUCGAGACGUCGGUGGAAACCGCAUGGCUAGAGUCCGGAAGAGGAGAGUGGAGUUCCCGGUGUAGCGGUGAAAUGCGCAGAUAUCGGGAAGAACACCCGUGGCGAAGGCGGCUCUCUGGGACGGUACUGACGCUGAGGCGCGAAAGCGUGGGGAGCGAACAGG